GUGAAUCAUCGAAUCUUUGAACGCAAAUUGCACUCUCUGGUAUUCCGGAGAGUAUGCCUGUUUGAGGGUCAGUUUAAAUCAAAAGCGGUGUGGUUGCUGCCUUUCGUGGUGACGCAGCGGAUGUGGGUCGUCUUGCCUUCGGGUAAGAGACCUUAAAUGUGGCAUGAUUUUUUUCGAAUGUAUUUAAAUAAUUUUACGGACGUUUGCGAUAUCGAAUACUAGUUGUGUUCAUCCUCAUGCUUCGCGCCUGUAAUUUUUCAUCAA
rnacentral:misc_RNA from 1 species